rnacentral:hammerhead_ribozyme from 1 species
AUCCAGCUGACGAGCCCGAAUAGGACGAAACGUGCGUCCUGGAU